GACCAUGUUGCCUAAUGGAUAAGGCGUCGGACUUCUAAAAUUAGUUGACAUCCGAAAAUUGCGGGUUAUAGUCACGCCUUGGUUA
rfam:Daphnia pulex DAPPTscaffold_98_Cont4346, whole genome shotgun sequence.